rnacentral:misc_RNA from 1 species
UUUCCGUAGGUGAGCCUGCGGAAGGAUCAUUAUUGUAUAACCGAGGUGCGAGGGCUGUCGCUGACCCGAAAGGUCGUGCACGCCCGAGUGCCCUCACCCACAUCCAUCUCACCCCUAUGUGCACCACCGCGUGGGUCCCCCUUUGGCUUGUUCGGAGGGGGGCUUACGUUUUCACACAAACUUUGUAUGCAGUGUAGAAUGUAUUUUUUGUUUUUGCGAUCACGCAAUCAAUACAACUUUCAACAACGGAUCUCUUGGCUCUC